GCUGGGGUGGCUCAGUGGUAGAGCACUUGCCUAGCAUGUGUGAGGCACUGGAUUCAAUCCUCAGCA
rnacentral:tRNA from 1 species